GCGGCAACAGCUCAAAUUUGAAAUCUGGCUCUCGGGCCCGAGUUGUAAUUUGUAGAGGAUGCUUUUGGUGAGGUGCCUUCCGAGUUCCCUGGAACGGGACGCCAUAGAGGGUGAGAGCCCCGUCUGGUUGGACACCGAUCCUCUGUAAAGCUCCUUCGACGAGUCGAGUAGUUUGGGAAUGCUGCUCUAAAUGGGAGGUAUAUGUCUUCUAAAGCUAAAUACCGGCCAGAGACCGAUAGCGCACAAGUAGAGUGAUCGAAAGAUGAAAAGAACUUUGAAAAGAGAGUUAAAAAGUACGUGAAAUUGUUGAAAGGGAAGCGCUUGUGACCAGACUUGGGCUUGGUUGAUCAUCCGGGGUUCUCCCCGGUGCACUCUUCCGGCUCAGGCCAGCAUCAGUUCGCCCUGGGGGAUAAAGGCUUCGGGAAUGUGGCUCUCUCCGGGGAGUGUUAUAGCCCGCUGCGUAAUACCCUGUGGCGGACUGAGGUUCGCGCAUUCGCAAGGAUGCUGGCGUAAUGGUCAUCAGUGACCCGUCUUGAAACACGGACCAAGGAGUCGUCUUCGUAUGCGAGUGUUCGGGUGUCAAACCCCUACGCGAAAUGAAAGUGAACGCAGGUGAGAGCUUCGGCGCAUCAUCGACCGAUCCUGAUGUUAUCGGAUGGAUUUGAGUAAGAGCAUACGGGGCCGGACCCGAAAGAAGGUGAACUAUGCCUGUGUAGGGUGAAGCCAGAGGAAACUCUGGUGGAGGCUCGCAGCGGUUCUGACGUGCAAAUCGAUCGUCAAACAUGGGCAUGGGGGCGAAAGACUAAUCGAACCUUCUAGUAGCUGGUUUCCGCCGAAGUUUCCCUCAGGAUAGCAGUGUUGAACUCAGUUUUAUGAGGUAAAGCGAAUGAUUAGGGACUCGGGGGCGCUAUUUAGCCUUCAUCCAUUCUCAAACUUUAAAUAUGUAAGAAGCCCUUGUUGCUUAAUUGAACGUGGGC
rnacentral:rRNA from 1 species